rnacentral:rRNA from 1 species
CCUACGGGAGGCAGCAGUGGGGAAUCUUGCGCAAUGGGCGAAAGCCUGACGCAGCAACGCCGCGUGCGGGAAGAAGGCUUUCGGGCUGUAAACCGCUUUCAGCAGGAACGAAAAUGACGGUACCUGCAGAAGAAGGAGCGGCCAACUAUGUGCCAGCAGCCGCGGUGAUACAUAGGCUUCAAGCGUUGUCCGGAUUUAUUGGGCGUAAAGAGUUCGUAGGCGGUCGAGUAAGUCGGGUGUGAAAAUUCUGGGCUCAACCCAGAGACGCCACCCGAUACUGCUUGACUUGAGUUCGAUAGGGGAGUGGGGAAUUCCUAGUGUAGCGGUGAAAUGCGCAGAUAUUAGGAGGAACACCGGUGGCGAAGGCGCCACUCUGGAUCGAUACUGACGCUGAGGAACGAAAGCAUGGGUAGCAAACAGGAUUAGAUACCCUGGUAGUCCAUGCCGUAAACGGUGGGCACUAGGUGUGGGUUUCUAUUAACGAAAUCCGCGCCGUCGCUAACGCAUUAAGUGCCCCGCCUGGGGAGGUACGGUCGCAGACUAAACUACAAGAAGUAGACGG